UAGAGAUUCCUACGGGAGGCAGCAGUAGGGAAUCUUCCGCAAUGGGCGAAAGCCUGACGGAGCAAUGCCGCGUGAGUGAUGAAGGUUUUCGGAUCGUAAAGCUCUGUUGCCAGGGAAGAACGCUUGGGAGAGUAACUGCUCUCAAGGUGACGGUACCUGAGAAGAAAGCCCCGGCUAACUACGUGCCAGCAGCCGCGGUAAU
rnacentral:rRNA from 1 species